UACGGAGGAUCCGAGCGUUAUCCGGAUUUAUUGGGUUUAAAGGGUGCGCAGGCGGGAAAUUAAGUCGGCGAUGAAAUUUUGCAGCUCAACUGUAAAAGUGCCUUCGAAACUGGUUUCCUUGAGUGUGGAUGAAGUAGGCGGAAUUUGUGGUGUAGCGGUGAAAUGCAUAGAUAUCACGAGGAACUCCGAUUGCGCAGGCAGCUUACUAAACCAUAACUGACGCUCAGGCACGAAGGCGUGGGGAUCAAACAGGAUUAGAUACCCGCGUAGU
rnacentral:rRNA from 1 species